GGUGAACGCUGGCGGCGUGCCUAAGACAUGCAAGUCGAGCGGGGCAGGUUUAUACCUGUUCAGCGGCGGACGGGUGAGUAACGCGUGGGUGACCUACCCUGAAGAGGCUGACAACCUGGGGAAACCCAGGCUAAUCCGCCAUGUUGUCCUAUCCUGUGGGGAAGGACUAAAGGGGCUACCCGCUUCCGGAUUUGCCCGCGUCCCAUCAGCUAGUUGGUGGGGUAUAGGUCCACCAAGGCGACGACGGGUAGCCGGUCUGCGAGGAUGGCCGGCCACACGGGCACUGAGCCACGGGGCCAACUCCUACGGGAGGCAGCAGUUAGGAAUCUGCAGCAAUGGACGGAAGUCUGCCGGAGCGACGCCGCUUGGAGGAGGAAGCACUUCGGGGUGUAAACUCCUGAACUGGGGACGAAAGCCCUGUGUAGGGGGAUGACGGUACCCAGGUAAUAGCGCCGGCCAACUCCGUG
rnacentral:rRNA from 1 species